AGUGAACGCUGGCGGUAGGCCUAACACAUGCAAGUCGAACGGCAGCACAGGAGAGCUUGCUCUCUGGGUGGCGAGUGGCGGACGGGUGAGAAAUACAUCGGAAUCUGCCCAGUCGUGGGGGAUAACGUAGGGAAACUUACGCUAAUACCGCAUACGACCUUCGGGUGAAAGAGGGGGAUCGCAAGACCUCUCGCGAUUGGAUGAGCCGAUGUCGGAUUAGCUAGUUGGCGGGGUAAUGGCCCACCAAGGCGACGAUCCGUAGCUGGUCUGAGAGGAUGAUCAGCCACACUGGAACUGAGACACGGUCCGGACUCCUACGGGAGGCAGCAGUGGGGAAUAUUGGACAAUGGGCGCAAGCCUGAUCCAGCCAUACCGCGUGGGUGAAGAAGGCCUUCGGGUUGUAAAGCCCUUUUGUUGGGAAAGAAAUCUUUCAGGCUAAUACCCUGGGAGGAUGACGGUACCCAAAGAAUAAGCACCGGCUAACUUCGUG
rnacentral:rRNA from 1 species